rnacentral:misc_RNA from 1 species
GAUGAAGAACGUAGCGAAAUGCGAUAAGUAAUGUGAAUUGCAGAAUUCAGUGAAUCAUCGAAUCUUUGAACGCACAUUGCGCCCGCCAGUAUUCUGGCGGGCAUGCCUGUUCGAGCGUCAUUUCAACCAUCAAGCCCCCGGCUUGUGUUGGGGACCUGCGGCUGCCGCAGGCCCUGAAAACCAGUGGCGGGCUCGCUAGUCACUCCGAGCGUAGUAAUACAUCUCGCUCAGGGCGUGCUGCGGGUUCCGGCCGUUAAAAAGCCUUAUUUACCCAAGGUUGACCUCGGAUCAGGUAGGAAGACCCGCUGAACUUAAGCAUAUCAAUAAGCGCAGGA